rnacentral:rRNA from 1 species
AUACGUAGGUGGCAAGCGUUAUCCGGAUUUACUGGGUGUAAAGGGCGUGUAGGCGGGACAGCAAGUCAGAUGUGAAAAUUAUGGGCUCAACCCAUAACCUGCAUUUGAAACUGUUGUUCUUGAGUGAUGGAGAGGCAGGCGGAAUUCCGUGUGUAGCGGUGAAAUGCGUAGAUAUACGGAGGAACACCAGUGGCGAAGGCGGCCUGCUGGACUGAAACUGACGCUGAGGCUCGAAAGCGUGGGGAGC